rnacentral:rRNA from 1 species
CCCUUAGAUGUUCUGGGCGGCCCGCGCACUACAUUGGCACUAGCAAAGAGAUCCUAGAUUGAAUUCUUUGGGGUAUUCUUCUAAAUGGUGUCGUGACUGGGAUAAAUCCUUGUAAUUAUUGGUUUUGAACGAGGAAUUCCUUGUAAUCGCGGUUUAUCAGCUCGCGUUGAAUGCGUCCCUGCCCUUUGUACACACCGCCCGUCGCUCCUACCGAUGGAUCGUCCGGUGAAGCUCACGGAGUGACUGUUCACGCAACGGUUUACGAAGUGAAAUGGACCUCACGACUUAGAGGAAGGAGAAGUCGUAACA